rnacentral:rRNA from 1 species
AGAGUUUGAUCAUGGCUCAGAUUGAACGCUGGCGGCAUGCCUUACACAUGCAAGUCGAACGGCAGCACGGGAGCAAUCCUGGUGGCGAGUGGCGAACGGGUGAGUAAUAUAUCGGAACGUGCCCAGUCGUGGGGGAUAACGUAGCGAAAGCUACGCUAAUACCGCAUACGAUCUACGGAUGAAAGCGGGGGACUCGUAAGGGCCUCGCGCGAUUGGAGCGGCCGAUAUCAGAUUAGGUUGUUGGUGAGGUAAAAGCUCACCAAGCCUGCGAUCUGUAGCUGGUCUGAGAGGACGACCAGCCACACUGGAACUGAGACACGGUCCAGACUCCUACGGGAGGCAGCAGUGGGGAAUUUUGGACAAUGGACGCAAGUCUGAUCCAGCAAUGCCGCGUGCAGGACGAAGGCCUUCGGGUUGUAAACUGCUUUUGUACGGAACGAAACGGUCUGCUUUAAUACAGUGGGCUAAUGACGGUACCGUAAGAAUAG